UACGUAGGGGGCAAGCGUUAUCCGGAUUUACUGGGUGUAAAGGGAGCGUAGGUGGUAAGGCAAGCCAGAAGUGAAAAUCCGGGGCUCAACUCCGGAACUGCUUUUGGAACUGUCCUACUUGAGUGCAGGAGAGGUAAGCGGAAUUCCUAGUGUAGCGGUGAAAUGCGUAGAUAUUAGGAGGAACACCGGUGGCGAAGGCGGCUUACUGGACUGUAACUGACACUGAGGCUCGAAAGCGUGGGUAGCAAAC
rnacentral:rRNA from 1 species